AUGACGCGUUUGGGGCUAUAUCUCCCACACCGAACCUCCCACAUUCAAAUCCUUGUACACACAUAUUCACUGGAGUCUGCUGCAUCUUUUGGCAUAGGCCACGCCCAUUUGCGUCUAGGGGUCCAAGCCAACAGGUUGGAUCCCUAUUGUUUUUGUAAGGAUUUUUUUUAUUAUUUUUAUACUUCCCGCCAUAGAAGUGGUACCACAGCCCAAACCGUAAAUGGUGCACACGCGCCAAUUGCAUCACUAGAUCCAGGUACGGCACCGCUACUCAGAUAACCAAAUCCAGACAUGCCGGCCACUAGGUGGCGCUAUACCAAGGAAUACGCGUUUGGGGCUAUAACUCCCACAACGAACCUUCCACUGUCAAAAACUUGUACCCACAUAUUCACUGGAGUCUGCUGCAUCUUUUGACAUAGGCCACGCCCAUUUGCGUCUAUAAUUUUUUUUCGCAAAAUCGCGAAAACCGCAAAACUGUUUUUUCCCUACUCCUCCCACAUUUCUUGACCAAUCGACACCAAACUUUGCACACGACAUCGUCAGACGAACACGAAAAGAAAAACUCAAACACUUUUUGAUCCGACCUUCGAUUACGAAACGGUAGCGUUUUGAAUAUUUGUUUAUUAGCUACGUUUUACGUCGAUACGCAAAAAUUCAGAAAAUACCAAAAUUAGACAUCGGAUCAAGUCCAAAUUUUAGACACAUGUCGGUGCUACCCGUAAUGGCGUUCAGUAAAGAAUUCGGAAUAUUUCGCCAUUAGGGGGCGCAAUAAACGAGGAAAUUGUAUAUCUUCUAAUUGGCCAAAGGAAUGUUCUUCAAACUCAAGGGAAACCAUCAAGGGGCAAACCCGAAUCUAUAUAGAAAAUAUGGCCAAGAAUUAUUAAUGUGGGCGGGAGUUUUUGGCAAAGGAAAAUUGUCUUGGGAAAAUUUCGCCAACAGGGCGGCGCCAAAAAACGACGACAUUGUCUAUCUCCUAUUUGGCCAAUGGAAUGUUCUGAAAACGCGUUUUAGGCUAUAACUCCCACACCGAAGCUCCCACAGUCAAAACCUUUAUAUCCACAUGUUGUUCACGGUAACGUUUUGAAUACUUGCUUCGCGUUGUGCCGGCGAAAUGCACAUUUCUUGUCGCGUUGUGCCGGCGAAAGGCACACUUCUUGUUAUUAUUCCAGCACUAAAAGUGUGCCCACACCCCAAACCGUAAAUGGUGCGGACACGCGAAUUGCAUGACUAGAUCCAGGUCCUUGAACACUACGCAGACGACAAAAUCCAGACACGCCGGCCACUAGGUGGCGCUAUACCAAGGAAUACGCGUUUGGGGCUAUAACUCCCACACCGAACCUCCCACAGUCAAAAACUUGUACGCACAUAUUCACUGGAGUCUGCUGCAUCUUUUGGCAUAGGCCACGCCCAUUUGCGUCUGGAAUUUUUUUUCGCAAAAUCGCGAAAAACGCAAAACUGUUUUUUCCCUACUCCUUCCACAUUUCUCGACCAAUCAACACCAAACUUUGCACACGACAUCUUCAGACGCACACGAAAAGAAAAACUCAAACACUUUUUGAUCCGACCUUCGAUUACGAAACGGUAGCAUUUUGAAUAUUUGUUUAUUAGCUACGUUUUACGUUGAAAAUCAAAAAUCCAGAAAAAUACCAAAAUUAGACAUUGGAUCAAGUCCAAAUUUUACACACAUGUCGGUGCUACCCUUAAUGGCGUUCAAUAAAAAUAUUGGAAUAUUUUGCCAUUAGGGGGCGCAAUAAACGAGGAAAUUGUAUAUCUUCUAAUAGGCCCGAGGAAUGUUCUUCAAACUAUAAGGGAACCAUCAAGGGGCAAACCCGAGUCUAUAUAAAAAAUAUGGCCAAGAAUUAUUAAUGUGGGCGGGAGUUAUUUGGCAAAGGAAAAUUGUCUUUGGAAAAUUUCGCCACAGGGCGGCGCCAAAAAACGACGAUAUUGUCUAUCUCCUAUUUGGCCAAUGUUCUGAAAACGCGUUUUAGGCUAUAACUCCCACACCGAAGCUCCCACAGUCAAAACCUUUAUAUCCACAUGUUGUUCACGGUAGCGUUUUGAAUACUUGCUUCGCGUUGUGCCGGCGAAACGCACAUUUCUUGUCGCGUUGUGCCGGCGAAAUGCACACUUCUUGGACCCCUGCAUAACUGCUUGCAGUUCUAGUUCCUAUUAUACUUACCUCCCUAAAAGUGGGACCACAGCCCAAACCGUAAAUGGUGCCGACACGCCAAUUGCAUGACUAGAUCCAGAUCUCUUCGGACUAUGCAGACGACAAAAUCCAGACCCGCCGGUCACUAGGUGGCGCUAUACCAAGGAAUACGCGUUUGGGGCUAUAACUCCCACACCGAACCUCCCACAUUCAAAACCUUGUACACACAGAUUCACUGGAGUCUGCUGCAUCUUUUGGCAUAGGCCACGCCCAUUUGCGUCUAGAAUUUUUUUUCGCAAAAUCGCGAAAACCGCAAAACUGUUUUUUCGCUACUCCUCCCACAUUUCUCGACCAAUCAACACCAAACUUUGCACUCGGCAUCUUCAGACGCACACGCAAAGAAACCCUCAGACAGUUUUUUGAUCCGACUUUCGACGACGAAACGGUAGCGUUUUGAAUAUUGGUUUAUGAGCUAAAUUAGACGUGAAAUAUCAAAAAUCCAAAGAAAUCCAAAAUUAGACAUCGGAUCGAGUCCAAAUGUUACAGACAUGUUGGUGUUAACGUUAAUGUCGUUCGAUAAAAAAUUCGGAAAAUUUCGCCAUUAGGGGGCGCAAUAAACGAGGAAAUUGUAUAUCUUCUAAUUGGCCAAAGGAAUGUUCUUCAAACUAUGAGGGAACCAUCACGGGGCAAACCCGAGUCUAUAUAAAAAUGAUGGUCAAGAAUUAUUAAUGUGGGCGGGAGUUAUUUGGAAAAGGAAAAUUGUCUUUGGAAAAUUUCGCCACAAGAGGGCGCAAAAAAACGACGAAAUAAUACAUCUCCUAAUCGCCAAUGGAAUGUUCUGAAAACGCGUUUUGGGCUAUAACUCCCACACCGAACCUCCCACAGUCAAAACCUUUUCAUCCACAUGUUGUUCACGGUAGCGUUUUGAAUACUUGCUUCGCGUUCUGCCGGUGAAACGCACAUUUCUUGUCGCGUUGUGCCGGCGAAAUGCACACUUCUUGGACCCCUGCAUAACUGCUUGCAGUUCUAGUUAUUAGGGGUCCAAGCCAACAGGUUGGAUCCCUAUUGUUUUUGUAAGGAUUUUUAUUAUACUUCCCAUCUAGAAGUGGUACCACAGCCCAAACCGUAAAUGGUGCACACGCGCCAAUUGCAUCACUAGAUCCAGGUCCGUGAACACUACGCAGACGACAAAAUCCAGACAUGCCGGCCACUAGGUGGCGCUAUACCAAGGAAUACGCGUUUUGGGCUAUAACUCCCACACCGAACCUCCAAGAGUCCAAAAACUUGUACACACAGAUGCACUGGAGUCUGCUGCAUCUUUUGGCCUAGGCCACGCCCAUUUGCGUCUAGAAAUAUUUUUCGCAAAAUCGGGAAAACCGCAAAACUGUUUUUUCCCUACUCCUCCCACAUUUCUUGACCAAUCGACACCAAACUUUGCACACGACAUCUUCAGACGCACACGCAAAGAAACCCUCAGACAGUUUUUUGAUCCGACUUUCGACGACGAAACGGUAGCGUUUUGAAUAUUGGUUUAUUAGCUAAAUUUGACGUGGAAAAUCAAAAAUCCAAAAAAACCAAAAUUAGACAUCGGAUCGAGUCCACAUUUUACACACAUGUCGGGGCUAGCCUUAAUGUCGUUCGAUAAAAAAUUCGGAAAAUUUCGCCAUUAGGGGGCGCAAUAAACGAGGAAAUUGUAUAUCUUCUAAAAAAUUUCGCCGCGAAAACGAUACACUGACUUCUCGCUACUCCUACCACAGUCAAAUCCUUUGUAUCCACAGGUUCAGGGUAGCGUUUUGAACACAUGCUUCGCGUUGUGCCGGCGAAACGCACAUUUCUUGUCGCGUUGUGCCGGCGAAAUGCACACUUCUUGGACCCCUGCAUAACUGCUUGCAGUUCUAGUUAUUAUUCUAUUUCUUAAAUUAAAUUAAUAGUGUUAAAGCCCAUGGUGCAGGUUAACCGGAAGUUUUGAUUAAUGGGUACAUAAAGCACUCAAAAUAUGUAUAUAAAGUUAGAAAUGUCUCCAAAAUGGUGUUAAAGUCCAGUUUUUGUAGUUUUUGGUUAGUAACGGUUAUUUUUUACGCAAUUUGGCGAUGACGUCACAUAAGGUAGACGCAUUAGAACUAGCAUUAUGGCGGACGGGGAUGAGGAAGAGGUAGCAAGACCCACUGUCAACAUUUAUGAUGGCCCACAGCCAUAUAAUUUCGAACCGGUUAGGCGUAUGAGGGGAAAUGAGGAAAUCCCGAGAGCCGAUGGCCGUCAAAGACAAAUAAAUGCAUGGUCAGAGGAGAAUGAGUGGAGAGUUGGUGAAGUGUCCUGGUGAGUUGCUACCAUUUAGAAACGCAGCAAGGAGCGCUGGAGCUAGUAGUCUAUGAACAGCAGUGCAUACAAUAACUUAUUUUCUUUUACUGUCAGUGAAUAGCAUCGAAUGAAAGUCAACGUUUUCUUUAUAUCUAGUGACAGUGAUUAUGUCAUUGGCGCAGAUAAGUACCCUAAACUUAGUCAGAAGAUCCAGAAAUAGAAGGCAUAUUAUGCCUUCUAUUUAUUCUAAAUAUGGGCUAGCUUGACAGUCCCACCUGUGAACCCCUAGUGUUUAUUCUAAGCUUUUACCUUUCUCCGGUGAAAAUGUUGUUUGCAAACGUAGCCGACGCCGAGUAGGCUGGUUAUGUCUUCAGUGUGAUUAUUUUUGAUAGUGCUAACUCGUUUUCCUCGUGAUUGAUUGUCAUUGAAACUGUCAGGGUACCGCUUACCGGGAGAGAGCAGUAAGCGUGUCUGUGUCGCUGUGUUUGGCAGGUGUCUGUGUGGGCGGUGUCGUCACAUGGAAACUGUGGUGGAGAGCUUGUG
ensembl:lncRNA